AACAACUACAUCCCCGCCUUCCUACAUCCGAAGGCUGUAGAGUCGCUUCUUUAGCAUCAGUUUAUUGCACAUAUUCUUCUUCAUGAAUAGGGUGUGCAAUUUCAACCAAAGUUCCUUUGGGGUCUUCUCCUCUAGCACCGAAUAAAGGUCCAAGUCAACCAACCAUUCCUUGAUGGCUGAGCACUCCCUUUUCUUUAGAGAUAUCCAUUGUCGGUCAGUCAAUCCAUCCGCCCUCUCCUCCAAUGCCAGAUCCAAUUCAUGCU
rnacentral:lncRNA from 1 species